AUUUAAGUCACGAUUUGACAAGGACACCUUCCUUUCACAAGUUAAAGGUCAAUCACCGUAUAUAUGUUUGAGCAACAUGCUUUGAGCUUCUUUCAUGACCUCAGCAGAUCAACAUUGCAAUGGCGCGCUACAUUCAAGGAGGUGUCCUCACAGUUAAUAGCGGCGAAUGUCCCAUACACGUGGGGGUCCCCACAGUCCCUUAUAGUCGCUACAAGCUAACUUCACUGUCCAUUGCAAACAGCUCUCUACAAGCACUGGAACUGGUUACCCGUGUAAUAUCUGGGACUAGCAGAUCCACUCACCAGUGGGAUAUGGAUAAUGUCACUAUCUUCACUCCAGCUGGUUCCACAGCCCAGGGAUAAGGAGCAUAUGAAGCAGACGCUCCAAUUUUAUGUUACCAGUUUUAUCCUCCUUUACGUUUCUGUUUAGAUUUGUUUUUUGAUCAGAAGUGUUUUAACUUCUGAGUUAAUCUCCG